UGACUCUCAGGUAAGCAACUGCUCCAUAU
rnacentral:sRNA from 1 species